rnacentral:rRNA from 1 species
CAGCAGCCGCGGUAACACGUAGGGUGCGAGCGUUGUCCGGAAUUACUGGGCGUAAAGAGCUCGUAGGUGGUUUGUCGCGUUGUUCGUGAAAACCGGAGGCUUAACCUCUGGCGUGCGGGCGAUACGGGCAGACUUGAGUACUGCAGGGGAGACUGGAAUUCCUGGUGUAGCGGUGGAAUGCGCAGAUAUCAGGAGGAACACCGGUGGCGAAGGCGGGUCUCUGGGCAGUAACUGACGCUGAGGAGCGAAAGCGUGGGGAGCGAACAGGAUUAGAUACCCGUGUAGUCCCUGUCUCUUAUAC